CACGUAGGGGGCGAGCGUUGUCCGGAUUUAUUGGGCGUAAAGAGCUCGUAGGCGGUUUCGUAAGUCGGAUGUGAAAACUCCAGGCUCAACUUGGAGACGCCAUUCGAUACUGCGAUGACUUGAGUCCGGUAGGGGAGUGUGGAAUUCCUGGUGUAGCGGUGAAAUGCGCAGAUAUCAGGAGGAACACCGGUGGCGAAGGCGGUUGCCUGGAGCUUUGCUGACGCUGAUGCGCGAAAGCGUGGGGAGCGAUCCGG
rnacentral:rRNA from 1 species